UACGGAGGGUGCAGGCGUUAAUCGGAAUUACUGGGCGUAAAGCGCACGCAGGCGGUUUGUUAAGUCAGGUGUGAAAUCCCCGGGCUCAACCUGGGAACUGCAUUUGAAACUGGCAAGCUAGAGUCUCGUAGAGGGGGGUAGAAUUCCAGGUGUAGCGGUGAAAUGCGUAGAGAUCUGGAGGAAUACCGGUGGCGAAGGCGGCCCCCCGGACGAAGACUGACGCUCAGGUGCUUAAGCGUG
rnacentral:rRNA from 1 species